UACAUUUAAAACGCCUCGUUUCUUGAACGACAGUGUAGAGAAAAGAAAUUUCAAGACAUUUAGUGAAAAAAAUAGAGCGUACUUUUUUCAUGUCUAUGCUGUUUACCGACCAUUUUGAUUAAUUACACUAACAGUAUGGUUGUAAAAAGUGCAAUAACGUGUUGGAAACCAAAUUCACAAUAGAAAACCAUAAUCACUUCACC
rnacentral:lncRNA from 1 species